rfam:Stegodyphus mimosarum contig65485, whole genome shotgun sequence.
GCCUUCGUGGUAUAGUGGUCAGCACGCUCGGCGCGUAUUCGAGAGGUCCGUUGUUCGAGUCCCGGUGAAGGCA